rnacentral:rRNA from 1 species
UACGUAGGGUGCAAGCGUUGUCCGGAAUUAUUGGGCGUAAAGAGCUCGUAGGCGGUUUGUCGCGUCUGCUGUGAAAACUCGGGGCUUAACUCCGGGCCUGCAGUGGGUACGGGCAGACUAGAGUGCGGUAGGGGAGACUGGAAUUCCUGGUGUAGCGGUGAAAUGCGCAGAUAUCAGGAGGAACACCAGUGGCGAAGGCGGCGACCUGGGCCAAUAUUGACGCUGAGGUGCGAAAGCGUGGGGAGCAAACAGG